rnacentral:rRNA from 1 species
UGGGGGAUAUUGCACAAUGGGCGAAAGCCUGAUGCAGCAACGCCGCGUGAGGGAAGACGGUUUUCGGAUUGUAAACCUCUGUCUUCGGUGAAGAAAAAAAUGACGGUAGCCGAGGAGGAAGCCACGGCUAACUACGUGCCAGCAGCCGCGGUAAUACGUAGGUGGCGAGCGUUGUCCGGAAUUACUGGGUGUAAAGGGAGCGCAGGCGGGGAAACAAGUCAGCUGUGAAAACUAUGGGCUUAACCCAUAAACUGCAGUUGAAACUGUUUUUCUUGAGUGGAGUAGAGGUAGGCGGAAUUCCGAGUGUAGCGGUGAAAUGCGUAGAUAUUCGGAGGAACACCAGUGGCGAAGGCGGCCUACUGGGCUCUAACUGACGCUGAGGCUCGAAAGUGUGGGGAGCAAACAGG